rnacentral:sRNA from 1 species
UACGUGCAUUAAACAGCUCUGACAUCU